rnacentral:lncRNA from 1 species
GCUUGUCAUUCUGACAUUUAAUACUUCAGCGUGGUGAUAAUGGUGAUAUAAUAUACUGUUUGAAAUUGUAACACAUGAGUUAAAAUCAAAAGAUUGAUAAGUACAUAUUUGUAUAUUGCUACAUGACAAAAAUCUAGGAAGAAUAUGAUUCACAUGAAAAUUCUUUGGAAGGACAUGACAGACUUUUAACAGUCCUGUAUAGUGAAAGGAGAAUAGAACGACUACUUCUACUUUCUGAACAAUGGGCUGUUGUAUUCAACUUCUUAUUCCCAACAGCCAUUAUGAAUGGUUUUUGAUUGAUCUCACAAAGAGCAUGUGCUUUAGACAUUAAUGCAGCGACUACCAUGAAACAGAGUAUUGGAUUACCUAAGGAAAGAAGCAGAGGAUGGAAUUUGAGGCAAUCAGGAUGAGUGAAAAAUUGAUUUGCAGCUGACCUGCAAAUGGAAUCAUCAGGAACAUCCCUUUCUCAUGGAGUCCCUUAAUUUACAAGUUAACUGCAAACAUAGGAGAUGAUAGUUCCAAGAAGGAACAUUUUAUCGUCUUUGUUUUUAAUCUCAAGAAUGGUACCUACCAUCAGUGAAUGACCUGUUGCAGUGCUUUCAUUGAAGUGUUCUUCGUUCCCUCAGCAAUAUGAUUGUGAUGACUGAAAAAGGGAAACUGUGCCACUAUUUGUACCAUCAUUUUCACCAAAAUCUAAAAAUGCUUUUUAUGACGUAUGGAGACAUUCUUCAUGUUUGUUUCAGUGGACACUCCUUGCAGAUGUAAAAAACUGAGAAAACUCACUUUUGGAAAGUGACCUAAAGAGUGUCAUUGAAGUGAAUUUUAAGUAGGCACGAUGAUUGUUUUCAUGGUUGCUGUUGGAUCAUAUCUCAGGAGCUGGAAUGACAGACAUUAUUGAACAAAGAAAUCAGGAUAGUGGAACUUAAAGGGCUUCAUCUCAGUGCUUUCAUAAAAUAUUCCCUCUGUAUACUUGCAU